UGCUGGAGGUAUCAGAAGUGCGAAUGCUGACAUAAGUAACGAUAAAGCGGGUGAAAAGCCCGCUCGCCGGAAGACCAAGGGUUCCUGUCCAACGUUAAUCGGGGCAGGGUGAGUCGACCCCUAAGGCGAGGCCGAAAGGCGUAGUCGAUGGGAAACAGGUUAAUAUUCCUGUACUUGGUGUUACUGCGAAGGGGGGACGGAGAAGGCUAUGUUAGCCGGGCGACGGUUGUCCCGGUUUAAGCAUGUAGGCGGAGGUUCCAGGUAAAUCCGGUACCUUUUAACGCUGAGGUGUGAUGACGAGGCACUACGGUGCUGAAGUAACAAAUGCCCUGCUUCCAGGAAAAGCCUCUAAGCAUCAGGUAACAUUAAAUCGUACCCCAAACCGACACAGGUGGUCAGGUAGAGAAUACCAAGGCGCUUGAGAGAACUCGGGUGAAGGAACUAGGCAAAAUGGUGCCGUAACUUCGGGAGAAGGCACGCUGGUGUGUAGGUGAAGUCCCUGCGGACGGAGCUGAGACCAGUCGAAGAUACCAGCUGGCUGCAACUGUUUAUUAAAAACACAGCACUGUGCAAACACGAAAGUGGACGUAUACGGUGUGACGCCUGCCCGGUGCCGGAAGGUUAAUUGAUGGGGUUAUCCGUAAGGAGAAGCUCUUGAUCGAAGCCCCGGUAAACGGCGGCCGUAACUAUAACGGUCCUAAGGUAGCGAAAUUCCUUGUCGGGUAAGUUCCGACCUGCACGAAUGGCGUAAUGAUGGCCAGGCUGUCUCCACCCGAGACUCAGUGAAAUUGAACUCGCUGUGAAGAUGCAGUGUACCCGCGGCAAGACGGAAAGACCCCGUGAACCUUUACUAUAGCUUGACACUGAACAUUGAGCCUUGAUGUGUAGGAUAGGUGGGAGGCUUUGAAGCGUGGACGCCAGUCUGCGUGGAGCCAACCUUGAAAUACCACCCUUUAAUGUUUGAUGUUCUAACGUAGGCCCCUAAUCGGGGUUGCGGACAGUGUCUGGUGGGUAGUUUGACUGGGGCGGUCUCCUCCCAAAGAGUAACGGAGGAGCACGAAGGUUAGCUAAUCCUGGUCGGACAUCAGGAGGUUAGUGCAAUGGCAUAAGCUAGCUUGACUGCGAGCGUGACGGCGCGAGCAGGUGCGAAAGCAGGUCAUAGUGAUCCGGUGGUUCUGAAUGGAAGGGCCAUCGCUCAACGGAUAAAAGGUACUCCGGGGAUAACAGGCUGAUACCGCCCAAGAGUUCAUAUCGACGGCGGUGUUUGGCACCUCGAUGUCGGCUCAUCACAUCCUGGGGCUGAAGUAGGUCCCAAGGGUAUGGCUGUUCGCCAUUUAAAGUGGUACGCGAGCUGGGUUUAGAACGUCGUGAGACAGUUCGGUCCCUAUCUGCCGUGGGCGCUGGAGAAUUGAGGGGGGCUGCUCCUAGUACGAGAGGACCGGAGUGGACGCAUCACUGGUGUUCGGGUUGUCAUGCCAAUGGCACUGCCCGGUAGCUAAAUGCGGAAGAGAUAAGUGCUGAAAGCAUCUAAGCACGAAACUUGCCCCGAGAUGAGUUCUCCCUGAGACUAUAAGUCUCCUGAAGGAACGUUGAAGACGACGACGUUGAUAGGCCGGGUGUGUAAGCGCAGCGAUGCGUUGAGCUAACCGGUACUAAUGAACCGUGAGGCUUAACCUUACAACGCCGAAG
rnacentral:rRNA from 1 species